GCGGAGGGCUGGAUGACCGCGUGGCUUCGUGCCGCGAGGAAAGUCCGGACUCCAUAAGGUGACGGUGCCGGGUAACGCCCGGCGGGGGCAACCCCAGGGAAAGCGCCACAGAGAACAGACCGCCCGCAAACUGCGGGUAAGGGUGAAACGGUGGAGUAAGAGCCCACCGGGGGGCUGGCAACAGUCCCCGCAUGGCAAGCCCCACCGGGAGCAAUGCCGAAUAGGGACCGCGCGCGGCGCAAGCUGCAGGGCUACCUUGCCCCAGCAGGUCCGGGUAGGCAGCUAGAUCCGGCUGGCAACAGCCGGGCCAGAGGAAUGGUCAUCCCGUUUCGGGGCAACCCGACAGACAGAAUCCGGCUUACAGGCCCUUCGCGCAG
rnacentral:RNase_P_RNA from 1 species